AGAGGCUAAGGCUGCCACACGGACUGGCGACGACGAUGACGACGAAAAUGAAAUCGACGUCGACCUUGAUC
rnacentral:ribozyme from 1 species